CCUACGGGUGGCAGCAGUGAGGAAUAUUGGUCAAUGGGCGCGAGCCUGAACCAGCCAAGUAGCGUGAAGGAUGACUGCCCUACGGGUUGUAAACUUCUUUUAUAAAGGAAUAAAGUGAGGCACGCGUGCCUUUUUGUAUGUACUUUAUGAAUAAGGACCGGCUAACUCCGUGCCAGCAGCCGCGGUAAUACGGAGGAUCCGAGCGUUAUCCGGAUUUUUUGGGUUUAAAGGGAGCGUAGAUGGGUUGUUCAGUCAGUUGUGAAAGUUUGCGGCUCAACCGUAAAAUUGCAAUUGAUACUGGCAGUCUUGAGUGCAGUAGAGGUAGGCGGAAUUCGUGGUGUAGCGGUGAAAUGCUUAGAUAUCACGAAGAACUCCGAUUGCGAAGGCAGCUUACUAAGCUGCCACUGACAUUGAUGCUCGAAAGUGUGGGUAGCAAACAGGAUUAGAUACCCUAGUAGUC
rnacentral:rRNA from 1 species